CUCUUCAACAUGCUCCUUCACGUCGCACCGUUCCAAAAUAACGUUUGCUCAUAACUAUGCCAGUAUAUGGAUCUAGACUACGAUAUUGACGACCCAGCCAGUGCACAGUUUGACACUAGACCCAAGGGCAUCUGGACAGCUAACUGCAAGAAUAACAAUGGGCCGUAAACGAGCUAUGCUUCAACUGGGCACAAAUAUGAAACACAAUUUACUCCAGAGCUGCGUCAGAUCAGAGAUUCGAACAGCUCUCAAUAUGUUCUUUAUUCCGAGCUUCAAAAAAUUGUUGACCAAAGCGACUUCUUUGCAAUCGAUUCGGAUUUUUUCUCUAAACUAACUUUAAGCUUUAUUUAGAAAUCUAUUUGUCCCGACUAAGCUGAAAUUUCCACAGUAGUUAACUUAUCUGGAGGGCAAUUCCACCCGCUUGUGUGGAAAAAUCGCGAAAAUCGUUUGUGAGAAACUUUUUGGCUUACCUUCCGAUUGUGUUAAAAUUCAUUUUCAAAGAUCUUUACGAGCAUUUAUCUUAAACGUGCCACGGCCAAGGCCCAGGCUAUACCCCCUAUGAUCCUAUCUAGACAUAGAUCGAAAAUUCUCAACCCAUAACUCGAUCAAAUCUCAUCCGAUUUUCACGAGGUUUAGUUUUUUGUUCAUGGUUUGACCUCU